UCUUUCCUGCGCUCCCGCUAACACCUUGGCAGUGGCGUGAAAAUCCUUCCAGCUGGCACGAGAUGCUGAGAGCAUCUCCCCUGCCCCUUCAACCUUUGCUCUUUGUCUUUGUUUCGCUUCACCCUUCCUCCGGUAGCUCUCACUGCGCUGGCCACAGACUUCCUUUAGGUCAGACUAGCUGGGGCUGCAACGCGACUUGCAGCCGAGUCAGGAACACUGCUGUGCCACUGAGACUGCCCCGGAGGAGAGCAAUGCCAGACAGAGGUUGAUGGCCUGCUCAGUCCACUAGUCCAAGUCUCCAGAAAUGACAGGGAGGCCUCUCCAGGGGAUCAGAAUAGCCAGGAAAUGGAGUUACAAACAUUGCUUCUUCAAGCUGAGUUGGAAGGAGGCUGAGAAAUGAAGAAGACCACAUUCUCCUUGUUGCCCCAGAGCUGGCAUUCAGCAGCAGCACCCUUUCCCCUACAGGGAAUAAAGUGCAUCCAUUAAAGUACA